GACGAACGCUGGCGGCAUGCCUAAUACAUGCAAGUCGAACGCUUUAAUUUCACCGGGUGCUUGCACCCAUCGAAGUUAAGGAGUGGCGGACGGGUGAGUAACACGUGGGUAACCUGCCCAUAAGAGGGGGAUAACAUUCGGAAACGGAUGCUAAUACCGCAUAUUUCUAAUCGUCUCCUGACGAAUGGAAGAAAGGUGGCUUCGGCUACCGCUUAUGGAUGGACCCGCGGCGUAUUAGCUAGUUGGUGAGGUAAUGGCUCACCAAGGCGAUGAUACGUAGCCGACCUGAGAGGGUGAUCGGCCACACUGGGACUGAGACACGGCCCAGACUCCUACGGGAGGCAGCAGUAGGGAAUCUUCCGCAAUGGACGAAAGUCUGACGGAGCAAUGCCGCGUGAGUGAAGAAGGUUUUCGGAUCGUAAAACUCUGUUGUUAGAGAAGAACAAGGAUGAGAGUAACUGCUCAUCCCCUGACGGUAUCUAACCAGAAAGCCACGGCUAACUACGUGCCAGCCGCCGCGGUAAGAC
rnacentral:rRNA from 1 species